AUUGAACGCUGGCGGCAGGCCUAACACAUGCAAGUCGAACGAGUGGCGGACGGGUGAGUAAUGUCUGGGAAACUGCCCGAUGGAGGGGGAUAACUACUGGAAACGGUAGCUAAUACCGCAUACCAUCGGAUGUGCCCAGAUGGGAUUAGCUUGUAGGUGAGGUAACGGCUCACCUAGGCGACGAUCCCUAGCUGGGCUGAGAGGAUGACAAGACACAGUGGAACUGAGACACGGUCCAGACUGCUACGGGAGGCAGAAUGGGGGAAUAUUUAACAAUGGGGGCAAGCCUGAUGCAGCCAUGCCGCGGGUAUGAAGAAGGCCUGCGGGUUGUAAAGUACUUUCAGCGGGGAGGCGGUACCCGCAGAAGAAGCACCGGCUAACUCCGUGCCAGCAGCGGCGGUAAGAC
rnacentral:rRNA from 1 species